CACGUAGGGGGCGAGCGUUGUCCGGAUUCAUUGGGCGUAAAGGGCGCGUGAGGCCGGCCAGGAAGUCGGAUGUGAAAACUCGAGGCUCAACCUCGAGCGUGCACCCGAUACUGCCGGGCUUGAGGCAGGUAGGGGAGAUCGGAAUUCCUGGUGUAGCGGUGAAAUGCGCAGAUAUCAGGAGGAACACCGGUGGCGAAGGCGGAUCUCUGGGCCUGUCCUGACGCUGAGGCGCGAAAGCUAGGGGAGCGAACAGG
rnacentral:rRNA from 1 species